ACUCGCUAGUCCUUGGGGCUAGGGCGCGUGCGCUGUGGGAUGCAGGCAACGCUGCUGGAUUCGUGGAGCCGGCUUGCUGGCUACCUCUGGGCUUGCACUGCUGCAUUUAUCUUUUUUUUAUACGUUACCCCUACCUCCCUCCUAAUUUUGUUCUUGUGAUGGUGUCAGAGAUCCAUUUGCAUCCCAGGCUCUUCAGACCCCAUUAGUGUAUCCCCGCAGGAUGGCCGUGUACUUUCGGAGGUGGGAAAAGGGAUGGCCGGCCCUGCAGUUCCUAAAACGGGGGCCAAUUCUCCACCGAAGAGAAGAGCUGUGUUUUCCUUUUGCUCUCUGUGGCCCAUUUAGUUCAUCUGCUACUGCGUCUAGGAUCAAAUGCCGACCCCUGUGUUUUAAAUGUAAAAUACUAACUUGAUGGCUUUAAACUACUUUAUCAGCUAAAUUACACAUUAUUGCCCUUCCUGUACUUUAUGGCCCAUCUCCCCUCUCCACUUCUUUGCACCAGGCACCAGGCACCCAUUCCUGGAAUUCCUUCCUUGUUCCCUAUCCCUACACCAUCUCCAACUGAGGCUUUUCUUGAUUCCCCUCCCCGACUAACACACCUUUGUCCCCAAGGUCUUGUCAUUCAGUCACUUUUCAGUGUCAGACUGACCCCAUUUGGGGUUUUCUUGACCAAGAUAUUGAAGUGUUUUGCCACUUCCUAUUCCAGCUCAUGUUACAGAUGAGGAAACUGAGGCAAACAGUUAAGUGACUUGCCUAGGAUCAUACACUGUGUCUGAGGCCAGAUUUGAACUCACAAAGAAGGCUCAAGAACUACUCUAUGCCACGGAGCUGGCUCUCUCCAAUGUAAUGAUCUUUUAUCUAUUUUCUAUAUACUUAUAUAUAGUGUCCCCAGCAUAAAUAGCUAAAAAAAAAAAAAAAAAAAAAACUGCACUAAAACUUUGUUCCCUCUUCUCUUCUCUAUCCCAUCUCUUUGAGAACAGAAGCUGAGGAAAAAGUUUUUUUUCCUAGAAGAGUGGUUUUUCUAAGAAUUCUAGUUGAAAUAAAAUUCUGAACUCUGCCUCACAGGAAACAAUCUUAUUCCCUCCCCUGACCUUUCCCUCUUCUCUCUUCUUUCUCCCACAUAGGAACAGUUUAAAGGCCUCAGAUUCUAGAGUACAGAAUGUUAGCUGAAAAAGGACCACAGAAGGUGGUCUCACUGACCUACUCAGAGAGUUGGGGAUGGGAUACUGGAAGCAGCCACAACUGCUGGCAGCCAGAAUUCCCAGAUGGCCCCACUACCCUAUACUUUACUCCUAAACUACUCUUCUGUUGGCUGCCAUUGGCCUUCGGUUGCUGCAAUCCUUCUUGGCAACAGGAUCUAUGCUCUGGAGACGGCAAAGGGGCAAGACCCCUCCAGUAGCACAAGGUCAAGAUGAACUUCAUUCCAGGGUACCAAAACAACUGGUCAAUGUGAUUGAUGAAUUGAUGCCAAUAAUAUUUGAAAAACGUGGAGAAUAA